AAGAUUAGAACACAGCAAACAAGGACCUCUUGCCUACUGCUUACAAGCUCAUUAAGCUAACGAAACCUAAUCAACGUCAUGAUCGUGUAAUUGAACUUAGACAACGUAACACAGUGAGAGGGCAUUAACUUCGGCUCAUUAACUCAACUAGACAAGUUCGUAGCAGCAAGGCCUCGUACGCGCCUCUAUCGGCUCAAUGAUGUCAUCAUGCUUCCGUGAG
rnacentral:lncRNA from 1 species